rnacentral:rRNA from 1 species
AUACGUAGGUGGCAAGCGUUGUCCGGAUUUACUGGGCGUAAAGGGAGCGUAAGCGGAUACUUAAGUGGGAUGUGAAAUACCCCGGGCUCAACCCGGGUGCUGCAUUCCAAACUGGGUAUCUAGAGUGUGGGAGAGGAAAGUGGAAUUCCUAGUGUAGCGGUGAAAUGCGUAGAGAUUAGGAAGAAUACCAGUGGCGAAGGCGGCUUUCUGGACUGUAACUGACACUGAGGCUCGAAAGCGUGGGGAGC